AUGGCGACAGUGUGGGUCCUGGUGCUGGUGACCGUGGUGCUGGGCUUGGCCGGAGCAGGCCCUGUCCCUACUUCCAAACCCACCACAACCAGGAGGGACUGCCACAUGGACAGGUUCCAAUCUCUGUCACCGAGGGAGCUAGGAGCCUUCAAGAAGGCCAAGGAUGCCUUAGAGGAGUCGCUUUUGCCCAAGAACUGGAGCUGCAGCUCUCGCCUCUUCCCUAGGACCAGGAACCUGAGGCUGCUGCAGGCCUGGGAGCGCCCCGUGGCCUUGGAGGCUGAGCUAGACUUGACGCUGAAGGUCCUGGGGAACAUGGCGGACUCGUCCCUGGGGGUCGUCCUGGACCAGCCCCUCCGCAUGCUGCGCCACAUCCACUCCGAGCUCCAGGCUUGUGUCCCGGCUCAGCCCACAGCAGGACCCAGACCCCGUGGCCGCCUCCACCACUGGCUGCACCGGCUCCACAAGGCCCCAAAUGAGUCCCAGGACUGCCUUGAGGCCUCCAUCACGUUCAACCUCUUCCGCCUCCUCAGACAGGACCUGAAAUGUGUUGCCAGUGGAGACAUGUGCGUCUGA